rnacentral:miRNA from 1 species
UCUGGGAACCGGUUUGGCUGCU